ensembl:lncRNA
CCCUUGUCCUCUCAGCUGCUGAGCAUCCAUUUGUUUGGUGGAAAAGCAUAGGGCGGUGUGCUGUGUAAGUGUCUCUGGGUCUGGGUGGGGACAGAGGAACCAUGGGGACAGAAGGAGUACACAACCCCCCCUCCAAUGUGCCUUCUGAUAUGGAUAAUCUGCAUUGACGAUGCUGAAAAUAUAACACAGGCAGCUUCUCCUCCCAGGGACCGUGGAUGGAUCCUGGUUUUGGUCAGAGGAAGGCUUUGGAAUGACUCAU